UACGGGGGGGGCAAGCGUUGUUCGGAAUUACUGGGCGUAAAGGGCUCGUAGGCGGCCAACUAAGUCAGACGUGAAAUCCCUCGGCUUAACCGGGGAACUGCGUCUGAUACUGGAUGGCUUGAGUUCGGGAGAGGGAUGCGGAAUUCCAGGUGUAGCGGUGAAAUGCGUAGAUACUGGGAGGAACACCGGUGGCGAAGGCGGCUACCUGGACCGGUUCUGACGCUGAUGCGCGAAAGCGUGGGUAGCAAACAGG
rnacentral:rRNA from 1 species